rnacentral:rRNA from 1 species
UACGAAGGGUGCAAGCGUUACUCGGAAUUACUGGGCGUAAAGCGUGCGUAGGUGGUUCGUUAAGUCUGUCGUGAAAGCCCCGGGCUCAACCUGGGAAUGGCGAUGGAUACUGGCGGGCUAGAGUGCGGUAGAGGAGAGUGGAAUUCCCGGUGUAGCAGUGAAAUGCGUAGAGAUCCGGAAGAACACCGGUGGCGAAGGCGGCCUGCUGGGCAGUAGCUGACACUGAGGCGCGAAAGCGUGGGGAGCAAACAGG